rnacentral:rRNA from 1 species
UAAUACGGAGGGUGCAAGCGUUAUCCGGAUUCACUGGGUUUAAAGGGUGCGUAGGUGGGCAGGUAAGUCAGUGGUGAAAUCUUUGGGCUUAACCCGAAAACUGCCAUUGAUACUAUUUGUCUUGAAUAUUGUGGAGGUCAGCGGAAUAUGUCAUGUAGCGGUGAAAUGCUUAGAUAUGACAUAGAACACCAAUUGCGAAGGCAGCUGGCUACACAUAUAUUGACACUGAUGCACGAAAGCGUGGGGAUCAAACAGGAUUAGAUACCCUGGUAGUCCACGCCCUAAACGAUGGAUACUCGACAUACGCGAUAUACUGUGUGUGUCUGAGCGAAAGCAUUAAGUAUCCCACCUGGGAAGUACGAUCGCAAGAUUG